rnacentral:rRNA from 1 species
UGGGGAAUAUUGCACAAUGGGCGGAAGCCUGAUGCAGCAACGCCGCGUGCGGGAUGACGGCCUUCGGGUUGUAAACCGCUUUCGCCUGUGACGAAGCGUGAGUGACGGUAAUGGGUAAAGAAGCACCGGCUAACUACGUGCCAGCAGCCGCGGUGAUACGUAGGGUGCGAGCGUUGUCCGGAUUUAUUGGGCGUAAAGGGCUCGUAGGUGGUUGAUCGCGUCGGAAGUGUAAUCUUGGGGCUUAACCCUGAGCGUGCUUUCGAUACGGGUUGACCUGAGGAAGGUAGGGGAGAAUGGAAUUCCUGGUGGAGCGGUGGAAUGCGCAGAUAUCAGGAGGAACACCAGUGGCGAAGGCGGUUCUCUGGGCCUUUCCUGACGCUGAGGAGCGAAAGCGUGGGGAGCGAACAGGCUUAGAUACCCUGGUAGUCCACGCUGUAAACGGUGGGUACUAGGUGUGGGGUCCAUUCCACGGGUUCCGUGCCGUAGCUAACGCUUUAAGUACCCCGCCUGGGGAGUACGGCCGCAAGGCUA